rnacentral:lncRNA from 1 species
UUCAGAUUUUAUGUUUCUUCCCAAACUUUGGAGGAACAAAGUUCCUGGUCUCAAAUGUAAUUGUACAAAUUGUUAGGCCGAUUAGAAAACAAAUGCGCAAAGUGCACUUUUCAAAAGGAUUAAAAAGUAUAUUUCUUGUUAUAGUCUGAAAGAAAAAUUGGUCACAAAGCUGGAGUUAGAUAAAGCAGUAACUUUACACAAAGACACAAAGACACAAAGAACACCCGAUUGAGAUCUCUUCCAUACGGUAAAUCGCUCCGAGAACAUGACCUAUCUUAUGACGUCACAAACCUGUUUCAAAAAAAGAACAAAUCAGAAUAUUCGUCACAUCCAGAAAGUUUCCGUGGAAUAAAUAGUACCAAAGAAUAUUGGAAGGAAAGAUUUAGUAGAGAUGAACAAACGUAUUUUCUUCUCGCAAGAAAAGUUUACGGUCAAUACAACAGCAUUUCUAACUGAAAAGCGAACACUUGAACAGGAAAAAGAAACAGAGCGAAAAGUGCUUGUGUUCUAGAAAUAGAAAUAUUCAAAAGCAUCAGAAGUCACAGAAGGCUGGUCUUACCUAACGGAAGUUGGAGAAUCAUUGUAUUCGGGCUCUGAAAUCUGAGACGCCCAGAAAGUUGUUUUGAUAUUGGAACUAAUGACUUCGGU